CCUACGGGUGGCAGCAGUGGGGGAUAUUGCACAAUGGGGGAAACCCUGAUGCAGCGACGCCGCUUGUGUGCCGCCUCUCCUCCUCGCGUCCCGCCCUGUCCGCCGGGCAGCAAAUGACGGUACCUGAAGAAGAAGCCCCGGCUAACUACGUGCCAGCAGCCGCGGUAAUACGUAGGGGGCAAGCGUUAUCCGGAUUUCCUGGGUGUACAGGGGGCGCCGCAGGCGAUGCAAGCCAGGAGUGAAAGCCCGGGGCCCAACCCCGGUCCUGCUCUUGGAACUGCGUUGCUAGAGUGCAGGAGGGGCAGGCGGAAUGCGUGGUGUAGCGGUGAAAUGCGUAGAUAUCAGGAGGAACACCGGUGGCGAAGGCGGCCUGCUGGACUGCAACUGACGUUGAGGCCCGAAAGCGUGGGGAGCAAACAGGAUUAGAUACCCUGGUAGUC
rnacentral:rRNA from 1 species